rnacentral:rRNA from 1 species
CCUACGGGGGGCUGCAGUGGGGAAUAUUGGACAAUGGGCGAAAGUCUGAUCCAGCCAUGCCGCGUGUGUGAAGAAGGCCUUCGGGUUGUAAAGCACUUUCAGUGGGGAAGAAAGCCUUGGGGCUAAUACCCUCGAGGAAGGACAUCACCCACAGAAGAAGCACCGGCUAACUCCGUGCCAGCAGCCGCGGUAAUACGGAGGGUGCGAGCGUUAAUCGGAAUUACUGGGCGUAAAGCGCGCGUAGGCGGUCUGAUAAGCCGGUUGUGAAAGCCCCGGGCUCAACCUGGGAACGGCAUCCGGAACUGUCAGGCUAGAGUGCAGGAGAGGAAGGUAGAAUUCCCGGUGUAGCGGUGAAAUGCGUAGAGAUCGGGAGGAAUACCAGUGGCGAAGGCGGCCUUCUGGACUGACACUGACGCUGAGGUGCGAAAGCGUGGGUAGCAAACAGGAUUAGAUACCCCAGUAGUC